rnacentral:lncRNA from 1 species
UGAAUGUGCAGCAGAAUCAUUUCCCUGAAUUCCAGCCCUACGUUCUGCCUGCUUUCUUCCAGAAGCUUUUAAUUUUAUAAUGGGAAGAGGAGACGUGCACUCCACCCAGGUUAUGGUUGGGUGUUUCUCAGCAGUUGCAUGACUCAAGAUCUAACACAUGCAGUUAAAAAUCGUUCUUUUCCUUUUCUUAUCAUGGCAAAUGAAGAAGCUAAAACCCAAUGUGCUAAAGAGCACCAUGAUCCUUAUGCCCAUCUUCUCUUCCAUCCUUUUGAAGGCAUUUUUCAACAAAUCUGAACUGAAAAUAGAAUUAUUUCUCCAUUACUCUUAAGAGGAAAGCAUUGAUUCAUACAGUGGAAAACCAAAAGCAAAACAAACCAAUAUCUCAACCUGGAUGAAAAGCUGAAGAAGACAUUUUAAUCUGAAAAUAUUAGCAGUGAAGUUGGGAAAUUCACACUUUUAACUGCAGGAAAUUAGAAGUACUUCUGGAAAGCCUAUGAUCAAAGCUUAGUUACUAGAAUUCUAUCCACCAUCAUAGUUUUAAGAUGGACUUCCAUUUUUAUUUUUCCUCUGUGUACAGUAGGGCCUUGGGUUAGUCAAUGGCUUCCAUUUUUGCAUGUAGAAUAUGUUUAGGCAACUAUUUAGAUAGCCAGGAUUUAUACUGUUAAAUUUUGUCUAAGGUCUAGAUUAAUAAGUCAGACAUGCCUGAGGGAGAUUUUUUUUGCUGUGCUCAAUGAGUUUUAGAUCAGAGUCUAAGUGUUCCUGCUCUCACAUAUAAAUAUCAUUGUGUACAUCCAUAUUUCUUCUAACUGUUUGUACAUAGCAGAUAUCUAUAUAUAUCCCUUUCUGUUCCUUGUAGACAUCUGUUUAAGUAGGCCCCCUUGUUCACUGUGAGAACUGAGCAUCUAACAUAAAUUGCAGCUGAGGCAGGAAAAGCCUGACAUCUCAUUUAUUAGCUUUAUUAAUCUUAUGAUAAAUUAAACUGGCUGCACCCUUAAAAGGAAACUUGUAUAUGUCACGACAUGGAAUAUUGAAACCUCAUCUAACUUGUUCAGAAUGAUGCUUGUUAUUAAUUAGAAAAUUGUAACCUGAGGGACUUCAUUUGAAAACGUCAGCAUUUAUUAUUAACAUAAUUUCUUUAGCUUUACAAAAUAGGCUUUUUGAUAUUGCUCAGAGCAAUGUGUGCAAAAGUUAGUUUAAUGAGAAGUAUAAUUUGAUUUUAUUAAUGUUGUAUGUUAGACUUCACAUGUAUGACAAACUAAGCAUAUGAGCAAGGUUUUGAAGCUUCUUACUGAAUAUAAGAGGUACUUCAAGACAGAAGAAGAGAGAAUAAUCUGACUUUAUUAAUAUAAAUAAAUUAAUUAUAUGUCUUGCUAAUUUAAAGUUG